UAGGGAAUCUUCGGCAAUGGACGGAAGUCUGACCGAGCAACGCCGCGUGAGUGAAGAAGGUUUUCGGAUCGUAAAGCCCUGUUGUAAGAGAAGAACGAGUGUGAGAGUGGAAAGUUCACACUGUGACGGUAUCUUACCAGAAAGGGACGGCUAACUACGUGCCAGCAGCCGCGGUAAUACGUAGGUCCCGAGCGUUGUCCGGAUUUAUUGGGCGUAAAGCGAGCGCAGGCGGUUAGAUAAGUCUGAAGUUAAAGGCUGUGGCUUAACCAUAGUAGGCUUUGGAAACUGUUUAACUUGAGUGCAAGAGGGGAGAGUGGAAUUCCAUGUGUAGCGGUGAAAUGCGUAGAUAUAUGGAGGAACACCGGUGGCGAAAGCGGCUCUCUGGCUUGUAACUGACGCUGAGGCUCGAAAGCGUGGGGAGCAAACAGGAUUAGAUACCCUGGUAGUCCACGCUGUAAACGAUGAGUGCUAGGUGUUAGACCCUUUCCGGGGUUUAGUGCCGUAGCUAACGCAUUAAGCACUCCGCCUGGGGAGUACGACCGCAAGGUUG
rnacentral:rRNA from 1 species